rnacentral:rRNA from 1 species
AGAGUUUGAUCCUGGCUCAGAAUGAACGCUGGCGGCGUGCCUAACACAUGCAAGUCGGAUGUGCCCGCAAGGGUGCAUGGCAGACGGGUGAGUAACGCGUGGGGAAUCUACCUCUUUGUGGGGAAUAACGCUCCGAAAGGAGUGGUAAUACCGCAUGAGAUCCAUGGCUGGAAUGUUGUGGAUGAAACCUGGGGACCUUCGGGCCUGGGGCAAGGAGAGGAUCCUGCGUCUGAUUAGCUAGUUGGUGAGGUAACGGCCCACCAAGGCAACGAUCAGUAGCCGGCCUGAGAGGGUGAUCGGCCACACUGGAACUGAGACACGGUCCAGACUCCUACGGGAGGCAGCAGUGGGGAAUUUUGCGCAAUGGGCGAAAGCCUGACGCAGCAACGCCGCGUGGGUGAUGAAGGUCUU